UGUGUCUACGACUGACUUUUUACAGAAAAUGUGUGUAUCUAAUAUAGAAAUUCCAAACAUCCGGUUGGCUUAAUCCUGAAUAAUAUAGGUCCGAUAAUUGCCGAMUAUUUCAUAUACUAUUUGCUUGGGUUUUUAUCAGGUAUAUAUUAAUUGAGUUAAUCAGCUUUAUAUUUCAUUCUCACUUGAAACCAGUGCGGCUUAACAAGUAAACUAUUUACUACUGUAUAUUUAUUUUUCUGCAAAGCAAACAAAGUUUAGUUAACAAUUUCUGUAAGCAAAAUUGUAAAAACCGGUUUAUCAUUGCAUCGAUUCGAUCGGUCGAAAAUAGCAAACGGAAGGAAAGCAAAUGUCAACAWUAUUGCGAGAAUUCACACAUUUUCAUGUGUUUAUAAAGGUAAACUGUACACAGUGGCGUAGCUAAA